GACGAACGCUGGCGGCGUGCUUAAUACAUGCAAGUCAACUGAACUGUUUGUAGCAAUACGGACAGGGAGGUGGCGCACGGGUGAGUAACACGUAGGUAAUCUGCCUUUAGGUCUGACAUAACCCCGGGAAACCGGAGCUAAUAUCAGAUGAUGCAGCGGCUCGACAUCGAGACAGUUGUUAAACCUUCGGGGCCUAAAGAUGAGCCUGCGUCUGAUUAGCUAGUUGGUGAGGUAACGGCUCACCAAGGCGACGAUCAGUAGCUGGUCUGAGAGGAUGAUCAGCCACACUGGAACUGAGACACGGUCCAGACUCCUACGGGAGGCAGCAGUAAGGAAUAUUGCUCAAUGGCCGAAAGGCUGAAGCAGCAACGCCGCGUGA
rnacentral:rRNA from 1 species